rnacentral:rRNA from 1 species
GACGAACGCUGGCGGCGUGCUUAACACAUGCAAGUCGAACGGAAAGGCCCCUUUGGGGGUACUCGAGUGGCGAACGGGUGAGUAACACGUGAGUAACCUGCCCUUGACUUCGGGAUAACUUCAGGAAACUGGGGCUAAUACCGGAUAGGAAUCCUUGCUGCAUGGUGGGGGUUGGAAAGCUUCGGCGGUUUUGGAUGGACUCGCGGCUUAUCAGCUUGUUGGUGGGGUAGUGGCUUACCAAGGCUUUGACGGGUAGCCGGCCUGAGAGGGCGACCGGCCACAUUGGGACUGAGAUACGGCCCAGACUCCUACGGGAGGCAGCAGUGGGGAAUAUUGCACAAUGGGCGGAAGCCUGAUGCAGCAACGCCACGUGCGGGAUGACGGCCUUCGGGUUGUAAACCGCUUUCAGCAGGGGCGAAGCUUUUGUGACGGUACCUGCAGAAGAAGCACCGGCUAACUACGUG